UACGAAGGGUGCGAAGCGUUACUUCGGAAUUACUGGGCGUAAAGCGUGCGUAGGUGGUUUGUUAAGUCUGCUGUGAAAGCCCCGGGCUCAACCUGGGAAUGGCAGUGGAUACUGGCAAGCUAGAGUGCGGUAGAGGGUAGUGGAAUUCCCGGUGUAGCGGUGAAAUGCGUAGAGAUCGGGAGGAACACCAGUGGCGAAGGCGGCUACCUGGACCAGCACUGACACUGAGGCACGAAAGCGUGGGGAGCAAACAGG
rnacentral:rRNA from 1 species